UGAUUCCUGCGGCUUCAAGCCAUCAAAAAAAAAAUAACUUUCACCCCCAAUUUUUGUAUCUUGCAGAUACACCAUCCACAAUCUAAAUCCAAAUCCAAAAUCCACCCGCGCUACAAUGACGUUUUCGUAUCUAACACACCACUCAUGACAUUCGUUUCCUACAAAAAUUCAUUGCAACCACCAAAACUCCCUCCCCUCGAACUCUAAAAUUUUAGUUGAAGGUAUGUAGUAUGGAUGAUAAUCACCACCAGCAGUUUUUCACCGUCGUCGUCGUCGUUGUCUUUGCCGCUGCCAUUGCCGCUGUCGGUCGUCAGGUUCACUUCUGAGUUCAGUUAAGUCAGUUUAUGGGGGGGCUAGAAAAUCGUGAGCAUGAGUGAGUGAAAAAAUAACAACAAAAAAUACAAAAACAAAACCAACAACAACAACAACAAAAAAGAUACGCGCGAGGAAUAACAUCAGAGCCCGGCUGUCGUGUGUCAGUCUAAUGCCAGAUACGAACUCGUUUAGCUCGUGCGGUGAAUAGCAAAAGCAAAUUAUUGUACGAUAGUUUUCCUCUUUUUUAAUUUAUAACCACGGACAGAAAAAAAAAUACAUAUUAUAUUAAAAAUUAAAAAGUUUUAUCAACAAAAAUUUAAACAAAUUAAAUAAAUAUCAGUUUAGUUUGAAAACAACAACAAAAAGAAAUUAAUAUACCAAUUUGAAAAAUCGUAGAUUUUAACAUCCGUUUCCUGUUUUUUGUGAUCCCUCGGUAAAGUGGUUUCAAAUUUUUAAAAACCUGCCUUGAUUAACCAAAUAAAAAAAUAUUCUGUUUUAUUUCUGGUAAAAGCCUAAAAAAAAGUAUAUUUAACAACUGUUAUAUAUUAAAAGUCUAGUAUCUUUUUUACUGACACAAAAUUGAAAACACCAUUAUCUGCAAAUGAAAAUUCCAUUUCGUGAUCGCGUGCUAACUAAAUAAUGUUCCUACGUCUACAGAUAUACAACUUUGAUAUAUACCUAAAUUCUAUUGGGCGCCUAUUUUCCGAGCCUCCUCCUUCCUUCGCCAAAUUUCUUUAGACUCCACAUAUUACAAGAGGAGAACGCUUUACGAAAAUUGAGUUCAAACCUGCACGAUUUGAUGUAUCUUAACAAAAAAAACAACACGAAGCCGUUCCAUUAGACCAAAUACCAAACCCAAAAACUCAAACCCAAAGUCCUCCUAGAGAGACCUCUAGAUCACCGAGACCCAACCGAAGCAAGCGACCCACCAACCCACCAACCAACCAACCCACCGACUCACCUCUUCCUUUCCUUUAGAAAAAUGGUAUUCGUUUUUCCAUGCACCUACUACAACAACAACAACAACAGAGUGAAAAAUUGUUUCAGUUUUUCCGAACUCCACUCUACUGUAAUAGUAUAGUGGCUCCGGAGUUUGAUUCUCAUAUAAAUUUGUUGUUAUUUUUAUUUAUUUAUAUUUCUUUUUGUUGGUUUGGUCGUCAUAGUGUAUUUUUCUGUUUCAGUUGGUUUUUGGCCUUUGGGCUCUUUAAGGCGCAACCAAAUAGCAUAGUCAGUCUUUCGUAUGUCGAAUCCGUUGAUGGUGAGCGCGUUCGUUUUACCUGGAGCUUUGAUAAUAAUUUUUCACCUACACUUUGCUGGUUUUUUCCUUUUUGGCUAAAAGAUAGUUUUGGUGUUGUAUCUUUUGGUUGAAGUCUUUCUAUACUUUAUUCAAUUCUUACAAUUAAAUUUGCCUAAAAAAAUUGUAAUUAAUAAAAAAAAAUAUUUAUUAAAAAUAAAAAGUGAUAAAGUAUUGAAUUUUAAUUAAAGAUUUAAUAAUAAUUGUGAUAGAAGUUAAAAAAUUAAAUAAAAUACAAAAAAAAAAUAAAAGAAAUUAGUGUGAGAAAAAAUAAAAAAAAAAUAUUUUUAUAAAAAUAAAAGUGAUAAAAGUUAUAGUUUAAACACAUAAAAAAUUAAAUAAUAAAAACAAAAAGUUUGUACAUAACAAAAAAUAUACCUAAAUAAACUUUCAACACUAUAUUUGGAUUAAAAAUAUUAUAUUAUAAAACAUCACAAUUUAUAAUCAAACUGCCUUUGCGAAAGUUGUGGAUUUUUUGUUUGCUGAUCAAAGUAAAUAAAAUUGUUUUAAUCAUCUUCUUAUAUGGUAAGUUCAACUUUUAAUACUUCAAACUUUCUUCACUGCGUAAGUCCAUUAAAGUGAUAAACGAUUCAUAAAAAUUGUACAUUUUAAAAUUAAAUAUAACAAUUUAUCAGGAGCUGUUGGUAAAAAUACAAUUUAAAAUGAAUUAAGCAAAUUUACAUUAAAUUUUAGGAGUUUUAACAUGUGACCUUUGUGGUACACCGAAAGUCUUAAACAAUUAUUGAAACAUUGAUGUUGACGGAUACGCUGUUUUUGACGGAUUUUUUUUUGUUGUAAAUUCAAUGUUCCUAGAUUUUUAAUCUUAUCUGCGUUUUAAUUGCUUUUGAAAUUUGUUUGCUCAAAGUUUUGGUAACGCAUGGUUUUCAAUAUGGCAAUACUUUUUUGUUUGAGUUAACGUUUUUGACAGCUGUCACAUACCAUUUGUCACAUUUCUCAUUUGAAACCUUUUCCUGAACAGCUAUUGGAAAUCAUGCAUCGCACUGCGUCAAGUAUUUGUUCGAAAUAAUUGCCCAGCAAAGUCGUUAAUAAUUAGAAUCUUUGCACUACACUGCGAACCGAAAAUGAUAUUCCUGCUGAACAUGAGAGUACUGAAGAAUACCCUAAUAAGUCAAUUACCCAUCACGUGAAAUAAUGGGAGGAGUACUCACCCACUUUAUGAAAAAAUUUUCGAAAGGAUUUUGAUCUUACAAAAUCCAACUCAUGUUAGAAUUGGUUCAUUGUCCCUAACCGGGAUGUUCGCUGAUCCCGAUUGUUAUAAGAACAUUUUGUCUAGCGAUGAUAAAUCAUGGACGACCUUUGGUUCCAACAACUUAAUGACGCUUCAUGUAAUACAGUCAACUAAUUAAACAAUUUACUAAAGGAAACACUUGAUGAGAGCUUUUACGUCUUUGAGUAUUUCAAUGAAGAUUUUUCCGUUCCUUCAAAUUUCAAGGUGUCAUUGGCUACUCCACAAUUUCCCUUGUGAAAACACCAUUUACUGUUCUCAAACACCGACCUUAUCGACAUUAAAGAUCAAGCAGCAAGAGUAUCAUUUUAUAAACCUUUAUUCUUAAAAAAGAGAGCAGUUUUCGAGAUCUUCAUUCUUAGACGUUGGUACGUUUGACACUUGAUGGUUUUGGUCAAAAAGUAGUGUCCACUGUGAAACAUACAACACACUAUGAUGUUAUUUAAUUUUGGUAUUUUGACAGAACUUGUUUUCCAAUUUAUUUCAACUUAUUACUCAUGACUUUUUCCAAUCUGUUGACGUAUCAACUUUCGUCUUAUUAGCCCUACAAAAUUUUUUAUCGAGUUCGUAUUGAUUUUUGUUUGUAUGUUUGUUUGUUUGUUUGCCCGUUCUUCACAUCACAGCGUAGCAAUAUUAUGGAAUGAUUUUUUAUGCAUAUAUAGUUGCAAGGCUGCAAAGUGUUGUUCGCUAUUUUUUACCACGGUAAAAUAUUUUAUUCGCAACUCAUACAAGAAAAUCCUCCACACUUACAAUUAGAUACUUAGUAUAUUCUAGAGCACUAAUCAGUAGCAUAUCAUUAGGUGCUGCAUGUUUUUCGACCUAUAAUCGUUGCUUAUCAUUAGGCGGUUAAAAACCUAUGCAGAGAGUUAUUGACACUAAAGGACAAAUUUUGUAAUGUACUACAACGUUUUUCUGAACUUAUUGCAAGUAUUUAUCCUUCACACAAUAACAUACAUGACGAUCAAUUUCUAUGUUUAAUAGCGAUUGUUUUGAAAAUAAAUUCAAACAUUUUGGAUUAUGUAGCAGGAGAUAUGAAGGAGUAUUUGUCAACAUACCCAGUAGAAUUUCUUAACUCACUUGCCCUUACAUAAGCUCUAAUUGAAAUAAGGAUUGUCAGUAUUGCUUACGGGAAAUUAGAUUCCUCUGAUUAUGUAAUGGUAAAAGACUUCGUGUCACAUAACUGGGACAAAACAUUACCAGGGGAAAAAUCUUAACCAGUUGAAAAUGUAAUUAUUUCUUGAAUACCAAUAGUUCCAAAGGAUUUACCAUUCCAAUUUAAAAGGCUUAAAUUCUCAUUAAACUUAUUUUUACUAUGACAAUUAAUAAGGCUGCAAGGACAAACACUAAACUGAUCAAUUUAACAAUAGACAUUGUUACUUUUGGUCAAUUUUUGUUUCUUUUGAUUUUGGAAAACUUCCCAACUAGUUCAUGUUCCUGGAAUUUUUCUAAAUGAUAUUUUGAUUUAAACUGAAACGAAAUUAGAUUAUUUUUUUAAACCUGACGAACAUGACAUGUAUAAAGUUCUGAAAUGAAACUUCGGUAAUGAAGUUCACCACAUCGAGGUCUAACAUCAUCUGGAAUUAGUUUCAGUUUUAAAAUAUAAUAAAAUAGUUCUUAACAGGUGUAAAAAAUGUUGAACAGUUAAUUGUUUUGCCGAGACCAAGUACCACAGGACUUGGAUGUAUGCACUGCAUUUAGAGGCACGUAUAAUCAUACAUUUUCCUCUAUGUCCUACGACUAGUUCGACUAGUUUACUAACCAACCUAAUGCGCAACUAAAUGCACACAUACUUAAAAAUAAUAAUAGAUACUUUUUAGUUUAUGAAGUUUUACUUUGUGUACCAUACAAGAAGUUCUAUCACUAUGAAUAUAAUAUUGUAAAGUUCCUACAAAGUUUCCUGCCCCGUAUCAUUUCAGAAAACACUUAAACAAGUCCUGCUAAUGUUGAGCACUUUACCAGUUGGUACCAACUACCAACAUAGGUACCUGUCCUACACUUGUAAAGUUUACCUUCGACAUGCAAUAUCACCAUCCUUUGUGCAUUUCACUCUUAAUAGCCACCACAAGGAUAAAGGAAAAAAACGAAAAAGGAUGCAGAUGCAGGAGAAAAAAAAAAACAAAGUAGAUACCUUUUCUUUUCACAUUUCAUCCUCUUAUAAUAUGAGAGGCAACAACAUGUGGCACGUGAUACAAUCCAAUCAUCUAUUUAUCUACAAAUGAACAAUAUCUAUGGUACAAGGUACACCAACAAAAGGUGAAGAAAAAGGACCAAGAACCAGAAACUGAUGAUGGACAGUCAUUGUGUGUCUUGCUUCUUCUUUUUUAAUCUAUGUAGGUACCUAUAUAUCAUUACAGACGUAUAGAAAUGCCUGGCGCAUAUUAUGCAACCUGAUGGUCAUUGUGUGAAAGGUACACCUGUCCAUGAUGUAGCGCCUUCUUUGGCAUGGUUGUUCUUUGGAAGCAUAUUUUCAUUUAGGAAGGAAUACCUAUAUACGAUUAUUUGGAGUAUGGCAGUUAGUUUCUUAUAGGAGGUUAAUUUGCAAAUCAAGAAAAUUAUACAGGCCUAGAAACGAUUUGCAUAUUGUUUAAAAACAAAAUUUUAGUAAGGUUUAAUGUAUAUUUGAAAGUCCUAUCAAUAAAAUUAUGUGUAAAAUAUAACAUCGCCAGGCGUUUUCGAAAGUUCCAGUUUCGGAUGACUUUGGCACAUAAAAAGACUGAAUUUGACCCAUGGCAUCGGCCGAUUGCGUCUUGAGUUGUGUGGCACGUAGCUCCAUCCUGUUAAAACCAUAUCUCUUCAAUGUCUAUAUCAUCCAAUCCAGACCAAAAGAAGUUGUGGGCAUCAAUUUUUAACUAUCCCUGUCCAACAUUAUUUUCGAAGAAGUACGGACCGAUAUUAUUUGGAUGUAAUGGUACCUCGGGGCUUCCUUCUAAGCUGAAAGGUCCAGGUUGAGUCCCUUGCAAAACGUGAGAGGCUGAUUAUACUGAUAUGAUUUAGAUCGUUUAGAUCGUUAAAGAAGAAUUCUCCUAGGUAAUUCGUGCGUUUUCGAGCUAGAGCAGGGCA